rnacentral:rRNA from 1 species
GAUGAACGCUGGCGGCGUGCUUAACACAUGCAAGUCGAACGAGAAGUGAAGACGUAUACCUUCUGCCGGAGUGCCUUACUUGGAGUUGCGGCCGGGUUAGUAACGCCUUGGUAUUCUGCUACAUACAGGGGGAUAACAGUUGUAAACGACUGUUAAUACUGCAUCAGACCACAGCAUCGCAUGGUGCGGGGGUAAAAACUGCGGUGGUAUGAUAUGGACUCGCUUUUGCUUUGCCGGCUGGCGGGGUCACUGCCCACCAAAGCGACGGUCGAUAGCCGAUCUGAGAGGCGGACAGGCCACGUUGGAGCUGCGACACGGCCCAAACUCCUACGGAAGGCAGCAGAGGAGAAUAUAGCACAAUGGAGGAAAACCUGAUGCAGCGACGCCGGGUGAGUGAAGAAGUAUUUCGGUAUGUAAAGCUGUAUCAGCAGAGAAGAAAAUGACGGUACCUGGGUAAGAAGCCCCGGCUAACUACGUG